rnacentral:rRNA from 1 species
GAUGAACGCUGGCGGCGUGCCUAAUACAUGCAAGUCGAGCGAACAGAUAAGGAGCUUGCUCCUUUGACGUUAGCGGCGGACGGGUGAGUAACACGUGGGUAACCUACCUAUAAGACUGGAAUAACUCCGGGAAACCGGGGCUAAUGCCGGAUAACAUUUAGAACCGCAUGGUUCUAAAGUGAAAGAUGGUUUUGCUAUCACUUAUAGAUGGACCCGCGCCGUAUUAGCUAGUUGGUAAGGUAACGGCUUACCAAGGCAACGAUACGUAGCCGACCUGAGAGGGUGAUCGGCCACACUGGAACUGAGACACGGUCCAGACUCCUACGGGAGGCAGCAGUAGGGAAUCUUCCGCAAUGGGCGAAAGCCUGACGGAGCAACGCCGCGUGAGUGAUGAAGGUCUUCGGAUCGUAAAACUCUGCUAUUAGGGAAGAACAAAUGUGUAAGUAACUGUGCACGUCUUGACGUUACCUAAUCAGAAAGCCACGGCUAACUACGUG